GACGAACGCUGGCGGCGUGCUUAACACAUGCAAGUCGAACGGAAAGGCCCUGCUUGCGGGGUACUCGCGUGGCGCACGGGUGAGUAAAACGUGGGAGAACUCCCCUGCACUUCGGGAUAAGCCUGCGAAACUGGGUCUAAUACCGGAGAGGAGCCCUUCUUAUGGUGAGGGGUGGAAGGAUUUUUCGGUGUGGGAUGAGCUCGCGGCCUAUCAGCUUGUUGGUGGGGUAAUGGCCUACCAAGGCGGCGACGGGUAGCCGGCCUGACAGGGUGGACGGCCAAAAUGGGACUGAGAUACGGCCCAGACUCCUACGGGAGGCAGCAGGGGGGAAUAUUGCACAAUGGGCGGAAGCCUGAUGCAGCGACGCCGCGUGGGGGAAGACGGCCUUCGGGUUGUAAACUCCUUUCGCUAGGGACGAAGCUUUUUGUGACGGUACCGAGAGAAGAAGCACCGGCUAACUACGUG
rnacentral:rRNA from 1 species